AUCUGAAAUAUGCGAACCAAUCUUCUUCUUGCUUCUCAAAGCUUUAACGGUAUGCAGAAGUUCCUAAGAA
rnacentral:sRNA from 1 species